UCUCAGAAUAGUGCGAAUUGGGCGCAGUCUUCGUGGGCCUUGAUCGCAGAUUGGGAGCCCUGGAGAGAGUCGGGGCUGCCAGGGUUCCCAGGACUGCCUUUGAUGCGAGGUCAAAGGUCAAAAAGUGUCUAAAGUGGCCGCUUCGAGGCUGAGAGCCCUCUUAAGUUUUGCUCCAUCUCUACCCUAAAAGAGCUCCCCGGCAAAAACUCAGAACUGUGCUGGCGUAAUCCCAGCGAAGUGUUUUGUUGGAACCAUCAUUCUUACUCUUUCGCUGAAGAUUUUGAUGCCAACGUCUCCCCGCGUUGGGGAGUUCUUUCUAAGUCUGCGGGAGGGGAUAGACGGUGGUAGGAUUCCAUGAACUUCUCCAAAUGCCACGGACAGCCCUCUGGAAACGGGCACCUUGCAUGCUACUGGGGCCUGCAACUUUGAGGCAGCAGCUUGGCCUUCUCCUGCCUUUUCUUGCCACGGGAUGGGCUUCAGAGAUGUGCUCCCUUGCCGGGCCCAUCCAGCACAUGUGGCCACAUCAAAGGACCUCCACCCCACCCUUAGAUAUUUCCCCAAUGCUGCCCAAAAUAAAAGCCUCUAGCGGUCC